rnacentral:lncRNA from 1 species
GUGCAAGAAUAAGCAGUUUGCUAAUUGAUUGUGUAUUUUUCUGUCAUAUGCUUUCAAUCGUUCUGCAUUAAAAAAAUCGUACAUGUGAAUAGGAAGGAACCUUGACGUGGUUCAUGUGCUUUAAAACAAAUACCUUCCAGACAGAAACUUUUUGAUACCUUGUGUAAUACGUUGUUUACAUAGAAUGCGUUGAGGAUUUUGAGAGAUGAAGGGAAUAAGCAGUAUGAAAAAUAAAUGCUUAAGAAGAUGUAUAACAACGAUAAUGAACUUCA